GCCAACAAAGAUCUGUAUAGUCAAAGCUUUGGUUUUUCCAGUAGUUAUGUAGGGAUGUGAGAGCUAGAUAAUACAAAAGGCUGAUCACUUUUGAACUGUGGUGCUAGAGAAGACUCUUGAGAGUCCCUUGGACAGCAAAGAGAUCAAACCAGUCAAUCCUAAAGGAAAAGGAAAUAAACCCUGAAUAGUCAUUGGAAGGACUAACACUGAAGCUCCAAUAGUUUGGCCACCUGAUGUUAAGAGCCAACUCAUUGGAAAAGACCCUGAUGCUGGGAAAGACUGAGGGCAAGAGGAGAAUGGGGCAACAGUGGGUGAGACAGUUCAAUGGCAUCAUUGGCUAAUGGACAUGAGUUUGAGCAAACUCUGGGAGAUAGUAAAGGAUGGAACCCUGGCAUACUGCCAUCCAUGGGGUCCAAAAGAGAUGGACAUGACUGAGUGAGUGAACAACAAAUGAAAAAAUCAAAAAGAGAAAUUCAAGAAACAAUUCCUUUUACCAUCACAUCAAAAGGAAUAAAACACCUAGGACUAAACUAGGAAAGACUGAGGGCAGGAGGAGAAUGGGCAACAGAGGAUGAGACACAUGGAUGGCAUCGACUAAUGGACAUGAGUUUGAGUAAACUCCGGGAAUUGGUGAUUGACAGGGAGGCCUGGCAUGCUGCAGUCCAUGGGGUCACAAGGAGUCAGACAUGGCUGAGCGACUGACCUGAAACAUACCUAAGGAGACAAAACACCUGUAUUCCUCAAAACUAUGAGAAACUGAUGAAAGAAAUCAAAUACUCAUGUUGAUGUUUGGUAAAUACCAACACAAUUCUGUGAAGCAAUCAUCCUUCAAUUAAAAAAUAAAUAAAUUAAAAAAAAAAAAAAACAAAUAAGACCCAAACAGAUAUUCAUAUAUUGGAAGAAUUAAUAUUGUCAAAAUUACUACACUACCCAGGGAAAUCUUCAGAUUCAACACAAUCCCUAUCAAUUACCAAUGGCAUUUUUCACAGACCUAGAACAAAAAAUUCUUAAAAUUUCUAUGGAGACAAAAAAGAUCUGGAAUAGUCAAAGCAAUCAUGAGAAAGAAAAAGUAAGCUGGAGGAAUCAGGUUUCCUGACUUCAAACUAUGCUACAAAGCUACAGUAAUCAAAGCAGUGUGGUACCAGUACAAAAAUAGAAAUAUAGAUGAAUGGAACAUUAUAGAAAACCUGGAAAUUACCCCCAUGCACCUGCUGCUGCUCCUAAGUCACUUCAGUCGUGUCCGACUCUGUGCAGCCCCAUAGACGGCAGACCACCAAGCUCCCCCGUCCCUGGGAUUCUCCAGGCAAGAACAUUGGAGUGGAUUGCCAUUUCCUUCUCCAAUGCAUUAAAGUGAAAAGUGAAAGGGAAGUCGCUCAGUUGUGUCUGACUCUUCGCUACCACAUGGACUGCAGCCCACCAGGUUCCUCCGUCCAUGGGAUUUUCCAGGCAAGAGUACUGGAGUGGGGUGCCAUUGCCUUCUCCAACCCCAUGCACCUACUGUCCAUCAAUCUAUGACAAAGGAGGCAUAGCUACACAAUGUCAAAUUGAUAGUCUCUCAACAAAUGAUGCUGUGAAUACUGGACAGCUAAAUGUAACAAAAAUGAAAUUAGAUAAAUCUUUAACAACAUACACAAAAAUAAGCUCAAAAUGGAUUAAAGACCUAAAUGUGAGACUGGACAUUGUAAAACUCCUAGAGGAAAUCAUAGGCAGAACACUCUCUAAUAAAUCACAGAAAAAAAAUUUUGAUAUAUCUCCUACAACAAUGGAAACAAGAAAUAAUAAACAGAUGGGAGCCUACUCAAACUCAAAAGCUUUUGCACAGAAAAGGAAACAAUAAGCAAAACAAAAUGACAACCCAAAGAUUGGGAGAAAAUAUUUUCAAAUAAUGUGACAGACAAGAGAUUGUUCUCCUGCAUUUAUAAAUAGCUAAUUAUGCUUGGACAUCAAAACAAAUAGUUCAAUCAAAGAAAUGGGC
ensembl:lncRNA